CUUUACUCAGGUUUCUCUUAUAUGAAAUAGCUGUUCAACGCACAGGGUGGUUGUGAUAGUGAAAUAAGAAAAUGUGAGUAAAAGUCCUUUGGAAACCAUGGCAGCACUAACCCUAUGCCGGGGAUUCUUACUGCUGCUAUAGUUAUUGCCACUGAUCGUAAAUAAAUCAUGUUGUUUUCAGACAUCAUCCCAUAAGCCCUGGCCAUCUAAAGGUUUUCUUGCUGCAACAAGGAAAUGGCAACUCACUCCAGUAGUCUUGCCUGGGAAGUCCAUGGAUAGAGGAGCCUGGCAGGCUGCAGUCCGUGGGGUCUUUGCAACUACACCACCACUCUGCAAGCCAGCAGAGUGCAACCCAUAUCUUUGUCCUAGAGAUGUGACAGACUAUGUGGGUGAGCGGAAGAGACCUCAAAGCCACUUCCUAACAGCUCAGGGUCUCACAGCUUCCCAAAGUAACCAGGUGCCGAGACAGAUGACCCUACAAAACCAGUCAGGGAUGUCGGAGGAGGAACUGAGACUAUCGUGCGUGCUCGAUCAGGGAGGUGAAAGCUCACGGUAGCGCCACAGGCCAAGCUCCACCACCGGCUAAAGGUUAAGAAGCAGCUGUAGCCUUCAAGCAAGGCCAAGGCUGGAGGUCCCUAUGCUUGGAAGAGGCUGCUACGAGGCUUCUCUUUGCCUGGAAUCCUUGGCAAAACUGCAGAAAGCCCAACUGGGAAGCUGGACUCUCUAAUGGAGACCUCUAGUUGGGGCCAAAGUAAAGUGAUGUCCCACAGACUCCAAGUCACCUAUGUCGUAUGUAGCACCGAGAGAGAACAAAUACCAACAGUGAAACACUCCAUUGAUUCUAAGACACAGUCCAAGCUCAUAGAGGCUUCAGUGUGAAAAAGUUGCGUCUUAGAAUUGGUGAAAAUAGGGCACUGUUGCUACGUACAAACAGCAAGAAGAGAAGAGAAGCACCGGAAGGGAACAUUCUCAUGGUCCACCAGCGAGUCUACCCGCCAUGUCUCUGUGUUCCUCCUUUGGCAACGCGCUGCCCGUGCCCCCAUCUACAUCAACCCUGCACCCAUGCCUGGGUGCCAUCCCCUCUCAACAGCGUAAGGACCCAACACCCCCGCAACCCCUGCUCCUCUCCUCUGCAUGGUUGGUUUUUCGUCUCUACUCGUGCGUUUCCACGCCCCAAAGCCAUGAAAUCAUGUCUUCCUUCUGGAUCUCUCUCCAAUUCCUUUCUUGGCUGCACUUUAUACAAAAUUCCUUAGAAGAGAUGGGUACUCUUGUUACCUGUCCUCUCCUCCCACGUGUUUCUUUGAACCCUGAUGGGAACACCAGGCUUCCAUCCCCCUUGCUCCAUCUGAAGUUUCUAGCCAGGUCCUCAGUGAUCAUCCAUGGCCAAACCCAAGGGU
ensembl:lncRNA